rnacentral:rRNA from 1 species
AGUGAACGCUGGCGGUAGGCCUAACUCAUGCAAGUCGAACGGCAGCACAGUAAGAGCUUGCUCUUACGGGUGGCGAGUGGCGGACGGGUGAGGAAUACAUCGGAAUCUACUUUUUCGUGGGGGAUAACGUAGGGAAACUUACGCUAAUACCGCAUGCGACCUACGGGUGAAAGCAGGGGAUCUUCGGACCUUGCGCGAUUGAAUGAGCCGAUGUCGGAUUAGCUAGUUGGCGGGGUAAAGGCCCACCAAGGCGACGAUCCGUAGCUGGUCUGAGAGGAUGAUCAGCCACACUGGAACUGAGACACGGUCCAGACUCCUACGGGAGGCAGCAGUGGGGAAUAUUGGACAAUGGGCGCAAGCCUGAUCCAGCCAUACCGCGUGGGUGAAGAAGGCCUUCGGGUUGUAAAGCCCUUUUGUUGGGAAAGAAAAGCAGCAGGUUAAUACCCCGCUGUUCUGACGGUACCCAAAGAAUAAGCACCGGCUAACUUCGUG